UACGUAGGGUGCGAGCGUUGUCCGGAAUUACUGGGCGUAAAGAGCUCGUAGGUGGUUUGUCGCGUUGUUCGUGAAAACUCACAGCUUAACUGUGGGCGUGCGGGCGAUACGGGCAGACUGGAGUACUGCAGGGGAGACUGGAAUUCCUGGUGUAGCGGUGGAAUGCGCAGAUAUCAGGAGGAACACCGGUGGCGAAGGCGGGUCUCUGGGACGGUACUGACGCUGAGACGCGAAAGCCGUGGGGAGCGAACAGG
rnacentral:rRNA from 1 species